GACGAACGCUGGCGGCGUGCCUAAUACAUGCAAGUAGAACGCUGAAGGAGGAGCUUGCUUCUCUGGAUGAGUUGCGAACGGGUGAGUAACGCGUAGGUAACCUGCCUGGUAGCGGGGGAUAACUAUUGGAAACGAUAGCUAAUACCGCAUAAGAGUAGAUGUUGCAUGACAUUUGCUUAAAAGGUGCAAUUGCAUCACUACCAGAUGGACCUGCGUUGUAUUAGCUAGUUGGUGAGGUAACGGCUCACCAAGGCAACGAUACAUAGCCGACCUGAGAGGGUGAUCGGCCACACUGGGACUGAGGCACGGCCCAGACUCCUACGGGAGGCAGCAGUAGGGAAUCUUCGGCAAUGGACGGAAGUCUGACCGAGCAACGCCGCGUGAGUGAAGAAGGGUUUCGGAUCGUAAAGCUCUGUUGUAAGAGAAGAACGAGUGUGAGAGUGGAAAGUUCACACUGUGACGGUAUCUUACCAGAAAGGGACGGCUAACUACGUG
rnacentral:rRNA from 1 species